rnacentral:lncRNA from 12 species
UUGUGUUUCAGUUACAGCUGUGAAUAGAGAUUGGAAAGCUAAUAGGUAGGAGAUGCCAAGAGAAAGGAAAGGUCACCGUAGCCCCCAGAUCCAGUCUGUGUAACCAGAUCAGAUGGCCACUGCAGUCACCCGGAUCCAGUACGUAUCCAGCCCAGAUGGUGGAUCAGCACCUAGAGAUGACCUCGAGAGCCCUGAAUGUCAGCGGAGACCAGGACAACUAGAUGGACCCCAUAGACAGAUCCCAAGUGAAGACCUUGUCACCUAGACAGCCAUCGGGACAACACCAUGAGACAUUUAAGACUGAUGCUCACAUCAAAGAUCUCAAAUCCAGCGAUGUCCAGCACACCAAUGAAGAACUGUCUAGGCUGCUUGGUGUCCAACAUCUCAUUGAUACGGACGACCAUCCACAAGAACAUUUUCUCAUAGAUAGACUUGCAGAGAGCUGA